rnacentral:rRNA from 1 species
AGUGAACGUUGGCGGCGUGGAUUAGGCAUGCAAGUCGAGCGAGAACCGUAGCAAUACGGGGGCAGCGGCGAAAGGGACAGUAAUGUGUAGGUACCUACCCCGAGGUCUGGGAUAGCUGCGGGAAACUGCAGGUAAUACCGGAUAAUGUCUUCGGACCAAAGGUGUGAUUCCACCUUGGGAGGGGCCUGCAUCCUAUUAGCUUGUUGGCGGGGUAACGGCCCACCAAGGCGACGAUGGGUAGCGGGUGUGAGAGCACGACCCGCGUCAUUGGGACUGAGACACUGCCCAGACACCCACGGGUGGCUGCAGUCGAGGAUCUUCGGCAAUGGGCGCAAGCCUGACCGAGCGACGCCGCGUGCGGGAUGAAGGCCUUCGGGUUGUAAACCGCUGUCGUAGGGGAGGAAAUGCAGGUGGGUUCUCCCUCCUGUUUGACCUAUCCUAGGAGGAAGUACGGGCUAAGUUCGUGCCAGCAGCCGCGGUAA